rnacentral:rRNA from 1 species
GAUGAACGCUAGCUACAGGCUUAACACAUGCAAGUCGAGGGGAAACGAUAGAGAAAGCUUGCUUUUUCUAGGCGUCGACCGGCGCACGGGUGAGUAACGUGUAUCCAACCUGCCCAUCACUUGGGGAUAACCUUGCGAAAGUAAGACUAAUACCCAAUGACGUCUCUAGAAGACAUCUGAAAGAGAUUAAAGAUUUAUCGGUGAUGGAUGGGGAUGCGUCUGAUUAGCUUGUUGGCGGGGUAACGGCCCACCAAGGCGACGAUCAGUAGGGGUUCUGAGAGGAAGGUCCCCCACAUUGGAACUGGGACACGGUCCAAACUCCUACGGGAGGCAGCAGUGAGGAAUAUUGGUCAAUGGGCGAGAGCCUGAACCAGCCAAGUAGCGUGCAGGAUGACGGCCCUAUGGGUUGUAAACUGCUUUUAUAAGGGAAUAAAGUGAGUCUCGUGAGGCUUUUUGCAUGUACCUUAUGAAUAAGGACCGGCUAACUUCGUGCCAGCCGCCGCCGUAA